rnacentral:rRNA from 1 species
CCCUAUUAUUAGAUUGUGUAAGUAAUUAGUAUUUAAGAAAUUUAAUAAUUUUGGCGGUUAAUUAUUUCUCAGAGGAGCUUGUUAUUAGAAUUGACUCUUUAUAUUUUAGUAAUGAUAAAAUUUAUUCAUCUCCGUUAUUAGAUGAGAGAUUUUUAGAACUAUUGUUGGUAUUUCAGGUCAAGAUGUAGUUUUUAUUAAUUAAAAUUAGCUACAUUUAUGGAAUAAUGGAGGAUUUUAAAGGUAAGUUAAUAGGAAAUUGAAUUUAGUUGUAAUAUUAACUAUAAAGUUAUUAUGGAAUAAUAGUAGUUAAUGUA